GGCUGUACACGCAGUGCGCAAGGCGGAGAGCGGGAGAGCCAGGCAUCCCGGCAUCCCGGCACCCGCUCCAGGGCCGGGCUCUCCACCUGGUCCGCACACGCCGCCGGCUCGAGCAGUCCCUGGGCGAGCCGAGGGCAGGACUUCGUUGCCAGCUCCAGACGCACACCAGCUCAAGUCCCCUGGGGCCGGAGUCCCACGGGCGCGAGAGCCCGGGAGAGUGGAGAACAGCAGUGGUGGGGGCCGACUUACCUGACGCAGCGGUCUCGGCGCCGUCCCCGUCCCGGUCCUCGUCCCUGCGCACCUCCGCCAGCCGAGGGCAGCUCGGCUUUGCUAGGUUGGCCUCGCACCUCCAGGGAAGAGGCGCAAGCUGGCAAAGACAAGGUGCGCGCGGUUCCUGGAGAGAGGUUCCUCUGAACUUGGGGAGGGCAACGCAAUUAAUUCUGCUCGCGAGCUUAAUAUUUAAAACACCCACGCAAAAACCAUAACGGCCGUUAAAACCUCGAGUUCCCGCUUUGAGAGACUCCCUCGCCCUGGCCAGGCGGGGAAUCCAGACCUGGGCGACACCGUCUAAGGUGGCCCACUGCCCAGGAAGGGCUUCAUGGCUGCUGUGUAAACAGCGCAGACAUACGUGCCGGUCUCUCCCAAACACCAGGAGAACUUUUACUAAAACGAAGAAUACGUGGAAGAGUGUGAAAGCCAGAAGGGAAGAGGUUGAAAACUUUAAUUACAACACGGAGAAAAGUUUUCGCAAUUGAUUUCCUUAAGCCGGGCUAACAAACCUCCCAGCAGUCCAGCAGCCCGCAGCACUGUAAGCUGGAGUAAGCAGAUAACCUGAACCCCCAAAUAACGGUGCCCCUGGGACUGUGCCUCAAAGAGGUCGGAACUCGUGUUUCAGCAACAAGAAGCAAAACUAGACAAUGCUCUGUGUCCUUCUACGACGUCAUUUUGUAAAAGGACAGGUCAUUGUUCCUCCACUUUAAGUGGAUGGAGAAUAGCAUUAAAUUUCCUUUGAAUCUGCGAGUCAUCCUGUUGGGAAACCACAGCUGUAGCAGCAGAAAACCGCCACAAAGAAGGUAGGGAAAGUGGGGGAAAUGCAUGAACUUUGUUUUUCAAAGAAAAAUGAAGAUAAAUCAAAAAUAAGUUUUACAGACAUGCCUUUCCUAGCUUAGGAAAGUUAAUUUUCAAAUGUGCUUCUGCUGUCUAGGGUGCAAAGCCGAGGCUAGGGGCGUGCGUGGCUGUAAUCUGCAUGCUGAUAAGAGAAGGUGGUGUACUUACAGUGACAGAGGGCAGGCUGCGGGAGAAAAGCUGUUUGUGUUAGCCUGCGAGCUACCCCGGGCUGCAGUGAGAGCCGAAGGGAGGAGUGGGAGUGCCAGUCUGCGUACACCUUCACCGCGUCUCAUUACAUCUGCCAGCCUCUCUCUCCCUCUCUCUUUCAUUUCCACAUUCCCUUUGUUCCUGAAAAAAAAUCUACACGUCACAUCAGAGUCCCCAGAUGCAGUCUACACCAAAGAAAAAAAUGAAUAAUUCAAUCAAACUGUGCAUAGUCUCUAAGGCAAUAAAUCUAUUGCACUUAAAGAAAGAAGGGUAAUUACCUCGACAGAAUCAGAAUAAGGCCAAAGACCCGAGAUGUCGCCGAGGCUCUGGGCAAACUCCCUGGUCAAAUAAAGUUUCAUUUAUUUAAUCCUUUUGACAUCUCAAAUGGAAAGUCAGAGAAAGAUUUUUAAACUUAUUUUAGACGUGUUCACUUCUUUUUAAACACAUUAUGGAAGAUGGGGGAGGGGGCUAGCGGUUACUACCUUGUCGAGAAGCUCCCCACCACAGCAGCAGAGAGCCCGCACAGACACCAACCCAGACAAUGCGUGUCCGUGGGGCCUGUCCAGGGUCCGUGUCCCCGCACUCCACCCUCCUCCACUCUCCUCCCCGCCAACAGAGGGACUCCCUCCACUUCCCACCACUGUGGCUCUGAAGGAAGCAGCUGCAAUGGGGAACCUUACCUGCCGAGCGAAGACCUAAGAGAAGUCGCCCUGCCCUGUCAACACCCCAUGCCAUUCCUAUGCCCCCUUCCAAAGCCCAGCAGCCAUCUACUUCUCCCAUCUGCCUAGGAGAAACUGUGAACGGGAUUUUUCCCACCACGAUUGAACGGAAGCUCUGUACUGAACCGACUUCUGGAUAUGCCCUGGGUUGAGUUUAGGGAAUGUCUGGAAGGGAGAAAGGAGGAGGAAAAAAGGAGGGGGGCAGCUCGAGCCUUAUCCAAGUUAGGCAGAAGGCGGUGUUGGGCGGCAGGAAAGCGCCUGCGGGAGGAACAGCUGGGAUUCUGGCUGGCUACGGAGGUCUAAGAACCGUGUCCUCCGUCCCAGAGGCUACUGAUAUGCAGUAAGCUCCUCCUGGGAUGUGGGGUGGCAGCAGUAAUCUCCUCAUCAGCCAAGACCAUGAGGGGAACAGACAAGACUCUGCAGACUGCUGUACGGCUAAGGUGGAGGUCAGAUCAGUUGUAGGUCAGAUGUAAUCAUUCAACUGCACACCUCUUCCAUUUGUGGAUCUCUCAUUGAACCUGCAGCGCACUGAUUCUGCUAUACUGUCUGGCCAGCAAGCCCCAGGGUUCUUCCCUUCUCUGCCUCCUCGGGGCUGGGAUUAUAGAGGGCAGUGAUAAUGGAGGACAACCAAAUUCUACCAACAAGACAAGAAAAGAUAGUUGACUCCCUGGCAGGAGAUGAAGCACCCUCACACGUCAGCCAGGCCAGGUGAAACCACCAAGGAACUGGUGAGACAAACAAGAGUGCUGCUUCUACAGCAAGCCUCACAGCCUAUGCCAGGGUGAUGGAGACAGACACUGAGGAUACUCAAAAAU